rnacentral:pre_miRNA from 1 species
GGUAAGACGGGCCGCGGAGGAGGAAGCAGACGGAACGCUAAAGAGAGAAGCAGGUUUCCCCCUCUCUUCUCCAGCGUUCCGUCUGCUUCCUCCUUCCCUGCCCGUCUUACCC